CUCGACUCAUGAAGCUGGAAUCGCUAGUAAUCGCGAAUCAGAAUGUCGCGGUGAAUACGUUCCCGGGUCUUGUACACACCGCCCGUCACACCAUGGGAGUCAGUAACGCCCGAAGUCAGUGACCGAACCUGAGAGGGAAGGAGCUGCCGAAGGCGGGACGGAUAACUGGGGUGAAGUCGUAACAAGGUACC
rnacentral:rRNA from 1 species